rnacentral:tRNA from 1 species
GGUUUGUGGCUCAAUGGUAGAGCACUCACCUAGCAUGUGUGAGGCACCGGGUUUGAUCCUCAGCACCA